AUAUAACCUUGGCAGAGAUGCCCGGGUAAUCUUUAAACGUGCGUCGUGAUAGGGAUAGCUCCUUGCAAUUUUGGAGCUUCAACGAGGAAUUCCUAGUAAACGCAAUUCAUCAAAUUGCAUUGAUUACGUCCCUGCCCUUUGUACACAC
rnacentral:rRNA from 1 species